rnacentral:rRNA from 1 species
GUGCCAGCCGCCGCGGUAAUACGUAGGUGGCGAGCGUUGUCCGGAUUUAUUGGGUUUAAAGGGUGCGUAGGCGGUCCUAUAAGUCAGUGGUGAAAUAUCGCAGCUUAACUGUGAGGGUGCCAUUGAUACUGUAGGACUUGAGUGAAUUUGAGGUAGGCGGAAUUGACGGUGUAGCGGUGAAAUGCUUAGAUAUCGUCAAGAACACCGAUAGUGAAGACAGCUUACCAAGCUUCAACUGACGCUGAGGCACGAAAGUGUGGGGAUCAAACAGGAUUAGAUACCCUUGUAGUCC